UAGAGGUAUUAGGGCGGUUAUCUCUUCCCAGUUUCCCACACUGUGGAAGGGUCCUUCUUGAUAUAGCUGU
rnacentral:precursor_RNA from 1 species